rnacentral:snRNA from 1 species
CUUACUUUGAUGGAAUAUAUACUAAAUUUGGAACGAAAGGCACAAAAUUAGCAUGGCCCCCGAGGGAAGAUAGCAUGUAGAUUCACUCAAUGUUCCAUUUUUAA